rnacentral:lncRNA from 1 species
UAAAUGAGGGAACAUAUGCAGAGGUGCUUUUAAAAAGCACAUGCCACCUUUUUUAUUAAUUAAUCUAUUAUAUAAAAUGAAGCAUUUAAUUAUAGUAAUAAUUUGAAGUAGUUUGAAGUACCACACUGAGGUGAGGACUUAAAAAUGAUAAGACGAGUUCCCUAUUUUAUAAGAAAAAUAAGCCAAAAUUAAAUAUUCUUUUGGAUAUAAAUUUCAACAGUGAGAUAGCUGCCUAGUGGAAAUGAAUAAUAUCCCAGCCACUAGUGUACAGGGUGUUUUGUGGCACAGGAUUAUGUAAUAUGGAACUGCUCAAGCAAAUAACUAGUCAUCACAACAGCAGUUCUUUGUAAUAACUGAAAAAGAAUAUUGUUUCUCGGAGAAGGAUGUCAAAAGAUCGGCCCAGCUCAGGGAGCAGUUUGCCCUACUAGCUCCUCGGACAGCUGUAAGAAGAGUCUCUGGCUCUUUAGAAUACUGAUCCCAUUGAAGAUACCACGCUGCAUGUGUCCUUAGUAGUCAUGUCUCCUUAGGCUCCUCUUGGACAUUCUGAGCAUGUGAGACCUGAGGACUGCAAACAGCUAUAAGAGGCUCCAAAUUCAUCAUAUCUUUCCCUUUGAGAAUCUGGCCAAGCUCCAGCUAAUCUACUUGGAUGGGUUGCCAGCUAUCUGGAGAAAAAGAUCUUCCUCAGAAGAAUAGGCUUGUUGCUUUACAGUGUUAGUGAUCCAUUCCCUUUGACGAUCCCUAGGUGGAGAUGGGGCAUGAGGAUCCUCCAGGGGAAAAGCUCACUACCACUGGGCAACAACCCUAGGUCAGGAGGUUCUGUCAAGAUACUUUCCUGGUCCCAGAUAGGAAGAUAAAGUCUCAAAAACAACCACCACACGUCAAGCUCUUCAUUGUUCCUACCUGCCAAAUCAUUAUACUUCCUACAAGCAGUGCAGAGAGCUGAGUCUUCAGCAGGUCCAAGAAAUUUGAACACACUGAAGGAAGUCAGCCUUCCCACCUGAAGAUCAACAUGCCUGGCACUCUAGCACUUGAGGAUAGCUGAAUGAAUGUGUCUUACCCAUUUCCAUGUUUCUCUUGCUAAUUUCUUUCGUGUGUGCCUUUGCCUCAUUUUCUCUUUUUGUUCACAAGAGUGGUCUGUGUCUUGUCUUAGACAUAUCUCUCAUUUUUCAUUUUGUUGCUAUUUCUCUUUGCUCUCCUAGAUGUGGCUCUUCUUUCACGCUUUAUUUCAUGUCUCCUUUUUGGGUCACAUGCUGUGUGCUUUUUGUCCUUUUCUUGUUCUGUCUACCUCUCCUUUCUCUGCCUACCUCUCUUUUCUCUUUGUGAACUGUGAUUAUUUGUUACCCCUUCCCCUUCUCGUUCGUUUUAAAUUUCACCUUUUUUCUGAGUCUGGCCUCCUUUCUGCUGUUUCUACUUUUUAUCUCACAUUUCUCAUUUCUGCAUUUCCUUUCUGCCUCUCUUGGGCUAUUCUCUCUCUCCUCCCCUGCGUGCCUCAGCAUCUCUUGCUGUUUGUGAUUUUCUAUUUCAGUAUUAAUCUCUGUUGGCUUGUAUUUGUUCUCUGCUUCUUCCCUUUCUACUCACCUUUGAGUAUUUCAGCCUCUUCAUGAAUCUAUCUCCCUCUCUUUGAUUUCAUGUAAUCUCUCCUUAAAUAUUUCUUUGCAUAUGUGGGCAAGUGUACGUGUGUGUGUGUCAUGUGUGGCAGAGGGGCUUCCUAACCCCUGCCUGAUAGGUGCAGAACGUCGGCUAUCAGAGCAAGCAUUGUGGAGCGGUUCCUUAUGCCAGGCUGCCAUGUGAGAUGAUCCAAGACCAAAACAAGGCCCUAGGCUGCAGUAAAACCCAAAACUCAAGUAGGGCAGAAGGUGGAAGGCUCAUAUGGAUAGAAGGCCCAAAGUAUAAGACAGAUGGUUUGAGACUUGAGACCCGAGGACUAAGAUGGAAAGCCCAUGUUCCAAGAUAGAUAGAAGCCUCAGGCCUGAAACCAACAAAAGCCUCAAGAGCCAAGAAAACAGAGGGUGGCCUGAAUUGGACCGAAGGCCUGAGUUGGAUGGAAGUCUCAAGGCUUGAGUUAGAAGUCUUAAGACCUGGGACAGGACACAUGGAAGGCCUAAGAACUGAGACUUGUGACACAAGGCCAACGAUCUAAGAUUAGCCCAGGGUUGUAGCUGGAAGACCUACAACCCAAGGAUGGAAGGCCCCUGUCACAAAGCCUACCUAGAUGGAUAGAGGACCCAAGCGAAAAAGGUAUCUCAAGACUAAAGGCUGGAAUCUGGAGGCCCAUGACCCAGAACCCAGGAAGGAUAGAAGCUUGAAGACCUGGGGAAAUCCCAAGAUGAGAACCCUAAACCCUACCUCUUUUCUAUUGUUUACACUUCUUACUCUUAGAUAUUUCCAGUUCUCCUGUUUAUCUUUAAGCCUGAUUCUUUUGAGAUGUACUUUUUGAUGUUGCCGGUUACCUUUAGAUUGACAGUAUUAUGCCUGGGCCAGUCUUGAGCCAGCUUUAAAUCACAGCUUUUACCUAUUUGUUAGGCUAUAGUGUUUUGUAAACUUCUGUUUCUAUUCACAUCUUCUCCACUUGAGAGAGACACCAAAAUCCAGUCAGUAUCUAAUCUGGCUUUUGUUAACUUCCCUCAGGAGCAGGCAUUCAUAUAGGUGAUACUGUAUUUCAGUCCUUUCUUUUGACCCCAGAAGCCCUAGACUGAGAAGAUAAAAUGGUCAGGUUGUUGGGGGAAAAAAAGUGCCAGGCUCUCUAGAGAAAAAUGUGAAGAGAUGCUCCAGGCCAAUGAGAAGAAUUAGACAAGAAAUACACAGAUGUGCCAGACUUCUGAGAAGCACCUGCCAGCAACAGCUUCCUUCUUUGAGCUUAGUCCAUCCCUCAUGAAAAAUGACUGACCACUGCUGGGCAGCAGGAGGGAUGAUGACCAACUAAUUCCCAAACCCCAGUCUCAUUGGUACCAGCCUUGGGAAACCACCCACACUUGAGCCACAAUUGGUUUUGAAGUGCAUUUACAAGUUUCUGGCAUCACUACCACUACUGAUUAAACAAGAAUAAGAGAACAUUUUAUCAUCAUCUGCUUUAUUCACAUAAAUGAAGUUGUGAUGAAUAAAUCUGCUUUUAUGCAGACACAAGGAAUUAAGUGGCUUCGUCAUUGUCCUUCUACAUCAAAGAUAAUUUAUUCCAAAAGCUAAGAUAAAUGGAAGACUCUUGAACUUGUGAACUGAUGUGAAAUGCAGAAUCUCUUUUGAGUCUUUGCUGUUUGGAAGAUUGAAAAAUAUUGUUCGGCAUGGGUGACCACCAGAAAGUAAUCUUAAGCCAUCUAGAUGUCACAAUUGAAACAAACUGGGGAGUUGGUUGCUAUUGUAAAAUAAAAU